rnacentral:misc_RNA from 1 species
GAUGAAGAACGCAGCGAAAUGCGAUAAGUAGUGUGAAUUGCAGAAUUCAGUGAAUCAUCGAAUCUUUGAACGCAUCUUGCGCUCCUUGGUAUUCUGAGGAGCAUGCCUGUUUGAGUGUCAUUAAAUUCUCAACUACACUGACUUUGAAUUGGUGUGGCUUGGAUUUGGGGGGAAAAUUGUUGUAGGCUUUUUGUAUAGUCUGCUCCCCUGAAAUUGAUUAGCGGUACCUUUGUGGAACUGUCUACAGGUGUGAUAAUUAUCUACAUCUUAGACAUCUGCUGGAAUGCUGCUUUCUAAACCUUACUUGUAUUGACAAUCUUGACCUCAAAUCAGGUAGGACUACCCGCUGAACUUAAGCAUAUCAAUAAGCGGAGGA